rnacentral:lncRNA from 1 species
UUUAACUGGGAAAGGGGAUAAAAUUUGAAAUGUAAAUAAAUAAAAUAGCCAAUAAAACUAAAAGAAAUAAAAUAAAAUAAAAAAUAAAACAGCUCCAGGUAAGAAAACAAACAAACAAGCAAGCAAACAAACCACUAAAGUGUUACUUUAAGAAUUCAUGUAAAGUUUCCCAGCUUGCUCUCCUGAAAACAGUGUUUUUCUUCAAAUAUUGUAAUAAAACAGAUACUCAAGGAUAAAUCUAUUUUAACCCCAUGGGAGCACAUCUUACUUGCCACCUGUAUUUGAACUCUAUAGUCUGACCAGAACUCCUAGAUACCCUGAGCAGUCUCCAGGCAAGGUUGGGCUAAAGGCAAGGACUGUAGCUUCCUUAACUGCUGUUUCCUCUUCCAGCUCCCUCUCAUGGUUCCUCCUCCACUCUCCAGUUUCAGAGAACAGACGAACUCUAGGGAAACACAGCAAGCAUGUGAAUGACUCACACUUGCUGGCUCACCUGCCUUAUUUAGUCCAAGCAUCUUGGCUUCCAACCAAAGGAGGAUAACCAGGCUACAGGAAGCACACCUUGGAUCUUCUGCAUGCUGCAGGCAAGGCUGUCUCUGUUGGGAAUGCCAAGUCUGAGCUUUGUCACCCAGGAAAGUGAUACCUGUCACACUCAGACCUCCAAUCUCCUUUUCAGACAGUGACUACAUCUGUCCUUACUCUGGGAGCCUUCCUGGUCUGUUCUCUGUAUUCUAAAUAUUCAGGCUUGACAAACAAAAACAGAAAAUUUUUGAGAUAUAACUCAGACCUUUAAUUUUUUUCUCUAAAAAUAUUUUCAUGGCAAUUCAGUGACUAAAAAAAAAACACUUUUUACAUAUAUGUAAAGAUACUUUUACCAAAAAUGUGUUGAGAAAUGUACUUCAUUACAGCUAUUGCAGCUCAACUUUUAAAAUAUAGUCCAAAGCUAUCAGGGAGCUUGUCCCUGUAGAAGAUUGCUUCUCUCUCACACAGCAGCCAAUUAAUUGCCUGUAGCUUUGCUUCCAGGGAUGGGGUGAGACCUUUAAUUUUUAACUGAAGUUCUUUUAAAACAUCAUCUCCUGACCUUGGAGCUGAACUUCUAAAUUAUUUUUGGUCAUAUACAAUUCAUUGUCUGAUUUAAGCUUUUCGUAUCAGUAUCUCAUUUCAUACAGUUUUAAAACAAAAUGUUAUGAAUCAGUACUUCUCUUAAAAUAUUUCCUUCAAAAUAAGAAAAGAAAUACAGUGUAUUGGUUAGAGUUGAGCUUACCUGGGAGAAAAGAUCAAACAAAAACAAAAUGCUUGUGGCGUAAGAAGGGGGGUCUGUCUGCUCAAGCUGGUGGCAGCUUUGCAUUUCCCUCAGUUUUUGCAUCACAGAGAAAUAAGCACAUCUUCUUAUACCAGAAGUACUUGGAGCAACCAAACUUUCUAUUGCUUUAGGGGAAAAAUGGAAUGCAACUAGGUGGGGGAGGGGAAGACAAUACAGAACCCCACAUUUCAAUCUCUUCCAUCCUAGGCAGUCAAAGGUUUUCUCUGUACUUUACCCCUCUCAUGAUCUCCUUGCUUUUAUAGCUCCCUGGGCUGAAUAUGCCCCCUCUCUGUACUGCACAGCUCUAGCAUUGCAUGGUCAUGCGGUGCAGCAAAGGGAAACUUACUCUUCCCUCUCACCCCCACUGGCUUAUAUAAGCUGCUGGGACGAAAUGUUGGUGCGUUACAUUUGUCUGCAGUAGCAAUGGUAGGGCGCAAUGCAAAACAGUCAUCCAGUAAAACCACUGUUAAAUAAAGAUGAACUAAAAAGAAACACGUCCUUUCCUUUUUGAGUCACCUUUGCACACAAAACCUAGGGUAAGUUGCUUCCUUGAAUAUCAUGGCUUUCCCCCGAGUUUGCACACUGACAGAGGAACUAUAGAACCGUAUGGAUUCCACACCACAUAGUAUGACCCAUCUCAUGGGUAGGCCUGGGCUUGUAAGAGAAGAGAAGAGACAGAUCACCAAGGACAUUAAAUUAGAAGAAUCUCAAUGCAUUUACGUCAAUCUGUGAGAGGCAAGUGCCUAUCAGGAACAAUUACACCAGGGCACAGACUGUGUGUGGAAACUUGCUUUUAAAGGCAAUGACUAAAAAAUUUAAAACAGAGUUGAUUUUGGGUUGGGUCUUAUUUGUUUAUGCUUAUUUGUGUGUUUCUCUCCUUUGCAAGAUAGUUGCUUUGGGGGCGAUGUCGUU